GUGUCAGCCGCCGCGGUAAUACGUAGGGUGCAGGCGUUAAUCGGAAUUACUGGGCGUAAAGCGUGCGCAGGCGGUUUCUUAAGUCAGAUGUGAAAGCCCCGGGCUUAACCUGGGAACUGCGUUUGAAACUGGGAGACUCGAGUAUGUCAGAGGGGGGUGGAAUUCCACGUGUAGCAGUGAAAUGCGUAGAGAUGUGGAGGAACACCGAUGGCGAAGGCAGCCCCCUGGGAUAAUACUGACGCUCAUGCACGAAAGCGUGGGGAGCAAACAGGAUUAGAUACCCUGGUAGUCCACGCCCUAAACGAUGUCAACUGGUUGUUGGGGAACUUGAUUCCUUAGUAACGAAGCUAACGCGUGAAGUUGACCGCCUGGGGAGUACGGCCGCAAGGUUAAA
rnacentral:rRNA from 1 species